rnacentral:rRNA from 1 species
GAGGAAAACAACCAACAGGGAUUGCCUUAGUAGCGGCGAGUGAAGCGGCAAAAGCUCAAAUUUGAAAUCUGGCACCUUCGGUGUCCGAGUUGUAAUUUGAAGAUUGUAACCUUGGGGUUGGCUCUUGUCUAUGUUUCUUGGAACAGGACGUCACAGAGGGUGAGAAUCCCGUGCGAUGAGAUGCCCAAUCCUAUGUAAGGUGCUUUCGAAGAGUCGAGUUGUUUGGGAAUGCAGCUCUAAGUGGGUGGUAAAUUCCAUCUAAAGCUAAAUAUUGGCGAGAGACCGAUAGCGAACAAGUACAGUGAUGGAAAGAUGAAAAGAACUUUGAAAAGAGAGUGAAAAAGUACGUGAAAUUGUUGAAAGGGAAGGGUUUGAGAUCAGACUCGAUAUUUUGUGAGCCUUGCCUUCGUGGCGGGGUGACCCGCAGCUUAUCGGGCCAGCAUCGGUUUGGGCGGUAGGAUAAUGGCGUAGGAAUGUGACUUUGCUUCGGUGAAGUGUUAUAGCCUGCGUUGAUGCUGCCUGCCUAGACCGAGGACUGCGAUUUUAUCAAGGAUGCUGGCAUAAUGAUCCCAAACCGCCCGUC